rnacentral:rRNA from 1 species
GCGGCCUAAUACCUUAUGUGUUCCGAAGAGGACAUCUGAUUUGGAAUAAAGAUUUAUCGCCUUGGGAUGGGGAUGCGUCUGAUUAGAUUGUUGGCGGGGCAACGGCCCACCAAGUCAUCGAUCAGUAGGGGUCUGAGAGGAAAGUCCCCCACAUUGGAACUGAGACACGGUCCAAACUCCUACGGGAGGCAGCAGUGAGGAAUAUUGGUCAAUGGGUGAGAACCUGAACCAGCCAAGUAGCGUGCAGGAAGACGGCCCCUAUGGGUUGUAAACUGCUUUUGUACGGGGAUAAAGGAGCUUACGUGUAAGUUUUUGCAGGUACCGUACGAAUAAGGACCGGCUAAUUCCGUGCC